GACGAACGCUGGCGGCGUGCUUAACACAUGCCAGUCGAACGGAAAGGCCCUGCUUUUGUGGGGUGCUCGAGUGGCGAACGGGUGAGUAACACGUGAGUAACCUGCCCUGGACUUUGGGAUAACUUCAGGAAACUGGGGCUAAUACCGGAUAGGAGCUCCUGCUGCAUGGGGGGGGGUGGAAAGUUUCGGCGGUUGGGGAUGGGCUCGCGGCUUAUCAGCUUGUUGGUGGGGUAGUGGCUUACCAAGGCUUUGACGGGUAGCCGGCCUGAGAGGGUGACCGGCCACAUUGGGACUGAGAUACGGCCCAGGCUCCUACGGGAGGCAGCAGUGGGGAAUAUUGCACAAUGGGCGGAAGCCUGAUGCAGCAACGCCGCGUGCGGGAUGACGGCCUUCGGGUUGUAAACCGCUUUCGCCUGUGACGAAGCGUGAGUGACGGUAAUGGGUAAAGAAGCACCGGCUAACUACGUG
rnacentral:rRNA from 1 species